GGGUUGUGAGGUUAAGCGACUAAGCGUACACGGUGGAUGCCCUGGCAGUCAGAGGCGAUGAAGGACGUGCUAAUCUGCGAUAAGCGUCGGUGAGGUGAUAUGAACCGUUAUAACCGGCGAUUUCCGAAUGGGGAAACCCAGUGUGUUUCGACACACUAUCAUUAACUGAAUCCAUAGGUUAAUGAGGCGAACCGGGGGAACUGAAACAUCUAAGUACCCCGAGGAAAAGAAAUCAACCGAGAUUCCCCCAGUAGCGGCGAGCGAACGGGGAGGAGCCCAGAGCCUGAAUCAGUGUGUGUGUUAGUGGAAGCGUCUGGAAAGGCGUGCGAUACAG
rnacentral:rRNA from 1 species